rnacentral:tmRNA from 1 species
GGGGAUGUCUCUGGUUUCGACUGGUGGCGGACCACUUCUAAGACUGCGGUCCAAGCGCUAACUUGUUAAACUGGCACAAAAAAAUAAAUGCAAAGAAAGAAGACGAAGUAUUCGUUUCUGACGAAGCAGAAUUACUUGCAGCGUGAGUUGUAAGACCCACUUUUGAGGGUGCUGUUCCUAACUCGAGAUUGUGGUUGCCAAUAGGGACUUGUUCGUUUUAGGCUGACAUAAAACGAAGACUCUUAGUCAGCUGGAGAUAAAAAGGUUGGAUACAUUACCGUUUUUAUCUCAAGAUCCAAAAAUGUGACUACGGCCGUAGACGUUUUAGGAUGGCACAUCAGGACGGGAGUUCGAAUCUCCCCAUCUCCAU